rnacentral:lncRNA from 1 species
AGAAGGAUGGAAGCAGGAAAACACUUGUUUCCAUGGCAAGGGAUGUGGUUGUCAUCAACGAGUUGGCCAGGUAUCCCUCACUUCUAAGAGAACGUUCACAAAUCUCCCAGCCUCCUCUGCAAACGAUCUUGGGUUCUAAUGCGUAACCACUAUGAAAAGGGUGUGUGAGAGGCGCUGAAGAGCUUUCUGAUGUAUUGGUUAGAUCUAAAGCCUCCUCCCAAGAACGCAAGUAACUGGCCCUUGGAACUGUCACUUCUCACAGAUGCCUCUCUUGUGUGCUCUUGGAUCCAGCCUUGCCAUGUGGUGCUCAAAAACUGGUGUAUUCUGGUAAGUAGUGUUUUCCCUUGCGUUUCCUAU